rnacentral:rRNA from 1 species
UACGAAGGGUGCAAACGUUGCUCGGAAUUAUUGGGCGUAAAGAGCUCGUAGGCGGUCUGUCACGUCGGAAGUGAAAACCCGGGGCUUAACCCCGGGCUUGCUUUCGAUACGGGCAGACUAGAGUGUGGUAGGGGAGACUGGAAUUCCUGGUGUAGCGGUGAAAUGCGCAGAUAUCAGGAGGAACACCGGUGGCGAAGGCGGGUCUCUGGGAC